AUUGAACGCUGGCGGCAGGCCUAACACAUGCAAGUCGAGCGGUAGAGCGAAGCUUGCUUCUCUUGAGAGCGGCGGACGGGUGAGUAAUGCCUAGGAAUCUGCCUGGUAGUGGGGGAUAACGUUCGGAAACGGACGCUAAUACCGCAUACGUCCUACGGGAGAAAGCAGGGGACCUUCGGGCCUUGCGCUAUCAGAUGAGCCUAGGUCGGAUUAGCUAGUUGGUGGGGUAAUGGCUCACCAAGGCGACGAUCCGUAACUGGUCUGAGAGGAUGAUCAGUCACACUGGAACUGAGACACGGUCCAGACUCCUACGGGAGGCGGCAGUGGGGAAUAUUGGACAAUGGGCGAAAGCCUGAUCCAGCCAUGCCGCGUGUGUGAAGAAGGUCUUCGGAUUGUAAAGCACUUUAAGUUGGGAGGAAGGGCAGUAAAUUAAUACGUUGCUGUUUUGACGUUACCGACAGAAUAAGCACCGGCUAACUCUGUG
rnacentral:rRNA from 1 species